CCAGACUCCUACGGGAGGCAGCAGUGGGGGAUAUUGCACAAUGGGGGGAACCCUGAUGCAGCGACGCCGCGUGGGUGAAGAAGCGCCUCGGCGCGUAAAGCCCUGUCAGCAGGGAAGAAAAUGACGGUACCUGAAGAAGAAGCCCCGGCUGACUACGUGCCAGCAGCCGCGGUAAUACGUAGGGGGCAAGCGUUAUCCGGAUUUACUGGGUGUAAAGGGAGCGCAGGCGGCCUUGCAAGUCUGAUGUGAAAGGCCGGGGCCCAACCCCGGGACUGCAUUGGAAACUGCGAGGCUGGAGUGUCGGAGAGGCAGGCGGAAUUCCGUGUGUAGCGGUGAAAUGCGUAGAUAUACGGAGGAACACCAGUGGCGAAGGCGGCCUGCUGGACAUUAACUGACGCUGAGGCGCGAAAGCGUGGGGAGCAAACAGGAUUAGAUACCCCCGUACG
rnacentral:rRNA from 1 species